rnacentral:rRNA from 1 species
UGGGGAAUUUUGCACAAUGGGCGAAAGCCUGACGCAGCGACGCCGCGUGAGGGAUGAAGGUCUUCGGAUUGUAAACCUCUUUCAGCAGGGACGAAGCGAAAGUGACGGUACCUGCAGAAGAAGCACCGGCUAACUACGUGCCAGCAGCCGCGGUAAUACGUAGGGUGCAAGCGUUGUCCGGAUUUAUUGGGCGUAAAGAGCUCGUAGGCGGUUAGACACGUCGGAUGUGAAAACUGGGGGCUCAACCCC